GCUCCCUCCCUCUCUUCCCCGCACCAGCCAGGCUUGCUGUUGUGUCUGACGCCUCCCCAGAGUCCAGGGUCAAGCGGACCUUCCUGCAUGUCCUGCUGGAACUUCCUCAGCUCUGCACUUCACCUGUAGCCUGAUUCAUGCUUUUGCCUCCUGAGCCAUGGAAGUCCUGCUCAAGAAGCGGACCCCUGUGCCGACACCGUGAACUGCUUCCCGUUGCUUCCUUCUAGCAGUGUUGGAAUUGCAGGUCCUACAGCAAAGUCUUCCACUGCUUGAGGGGGUGCUGACCUGCAAGGGAGCAGAGCUGAGCUGGAGAGUGGACCACAGCAAGCUGGAGGCCUGUCCCUGCCUGCGCUGUGCCCGGGCGUCUUUCUCCUGCUCUGUCCCUUGCCAUGGCGAGUGUCCCUUGAAGCUGGGAAAGACCUAGAAGAACAACAUAUGAGCACAGCGAGAAGCACGUGCUGCUCA